UCGCCCUCUCCCAUCUUACUUUGAUUAAAGUGAUAUAUACUCCAUUUGUUUUCACUUCUUCUUUCUUUAAAAAUUGGAGGUAGGAGGAAAGAAAAUGGAGAGAAGAUUACUAUGUGAAAAAAUCGAACCCUCACCAACAAAGUGAGAGAGAGUCAACCAACUGUACUAUUAAAAUUUUCCUCAUGAGUUUCCACUUCAAUUGUAAACAAAGAAAUAAA
rnacentral:lncRNA from 1 species